GGUAGGGUGGCUGAGUAAGUGGUGGAUUGUAAAUCCUCAGACAGAGGUUAAAGCCCUCUUCCUACCA
rnacentral:tRNA from 1 species